AACAUAAAAGAAGAAGAAGAAGACGAGCUGUGGCCGAACGGAGGUGAACAUGGCCGAUGUGUCAGAGAGGACGUUACAGGUCGCUAUAUUCGUUUCGUUUGCGGCUGGUUUUAUCGCCGGCUGGCAGGCAAACAGAAUGCGAAGAAGGUUCUUGGACUGGCGGAAAAAGAGGUUACAGGACAAGCUCGCAGAAACACAGAAGAAGCUAGACCUGUCAUGACGCAUACAAAACAUCACGCAACCGACCUGCUCUUUCACUUUUUAGUGCCUCGGUCAUCAAAGCCUGAUAGAGUAUUCCUGGUUUACAAACAGAUUGAGGAGUCUAGAACAGCACCUCUCCAGCUCUCAGCAGGAUCAGGCUUUCAACCUUGGAUCAAAGACGCAAUCUACAGGCUGGAGCAAAGCAAUACAACUUUAUUAAGGACUUUAAAAACUCAGCAGAAAGUUGUAUUUAUAAGUAUUUUUCUUCAAUGUUUGUUCAAGCCAUAAAUCAUGUUACCAUGUCUGUGCUUUUUCUUUGUCUCUGUCAUUUGAA